rnacentral:rRNA from 1 species
AUUGAACGCUGGCGGCAUGCCUUACACAUGCAAGUCGAACGGCAGCACGGACUUCGGUCUGGUGGCGAGUGGCGAACGGGUGAGUAAUGCAUCGGAACGUGCCAUUGAGUGGGGGAUAACGUAGCGAAAGUUGCGCUAAUACCGCAUAUUCUGUGAGCAGGAAAGCAGGGGGACCGCAAGGCCUUGCGCUCUUUGAGCGGCCGAUGUCAGAUUAGCUAGUUGGUGAGGUAAAGGCUUACCAAGGCGACGAUCUGUAGCGGGUCUGAGAGGAUGAUCCGCCACACUGGAACUGAGACACGGUCCAGACUCCUACGGGAGGCAGCAGUGGGGAAUUUUGGACAAUGGGGGCAACCCUGAUCCAGCCAUGCCGCGUGAGUGAAGAAGGCCUUCGG